rnacentral:tRNA from 13 species
UCGAUAGCUCAGUUGGUAGGAUCAUGCCCUUGGAUCCGGAAGGGCCUGAGUUCGAUCCCGGCCUCGGC